AUUUGCACGGUGUACUUCCUCAUUAAUGCAGUUAGUUCUUUGUAUCACUAAUUAACAUGAAGAUUACUAGUUGUACAUAUUUGUUGUCAAGAAUUUUGUUACUUGCCGUUAUAUCAGAGUUGGGCGCUGUAGAUGACCCGUGUUCACUGAAAGGCACUAAGUAUGAUGAUAAUAUAGUGGCAGACAUGUGUACAGGCGACUUCGCAGUUGAAGACAGUGAAGACGGAAGGAACUUGAAAGACAGUGUAAUUGUACGUGUGGUAAAACAGAAAGCUAACUGUAC